ACUCCUUGAAGACAGCUGCUCCUUCCCACAAGGGGUGUUCAGUGAAUUUGGGGAGAUCCCAAGUGGAUUCCCAGGCAUCCUGGUGGACCCCUGCAGGGACUAGGAGGGGCCCGCUGUGAUCAUAUGGGCGGUGGUUCUGGGGCACUGCCAGCUUGCAGCUCUGGGCUCUGUGCCAGGAUGGCAGUGCUGGCAUCCAAAGCCCUCCCUUGCCAGGAACAGGGGAACUGGCUGUCUCCACUCAAGCUGAGGAAGGGUCUCUCUUUUGGGAUUCAGAUGGAGCUGAAGGCAUCUGGAAAAACCACAGUGCCAGGCAAGAAGGAUCCCUGGAUGUCUGUGCUCAGCCAGAGCUGCUUCAGCCACCAUCUUCUGCCUUGGCCAUCACGGUAGCAGAGGUUGUCUGGGGCAGCCUCCACCUCCCAGCAUGAGACUCUGGGUUCUUCUUUUGCCCAGACACCUGCAGUUCUGGCAGUCACUGAACUUGGUCUGGAGACCCCAGCUUUGAAUCUCUCCAAGUGUGCCAACAAAGCCAGGUUCUGUGUGCUGGCUUCUCUUUCCUGCCUGUCCUUCCUCUCUACCUCGGGUCUUCACUCAGUGCAACCUUCUUAUUUCCUUACACUGUUGCCUCCAACCCUGAAGCAUCAGAAAGGGACCUGUUCCCCU
rnacentral:lncRNA from 1 species